CGCGUCUUGGCGACCUGUGAACAGAUUUGACUGUCGUGGAAGAGGCCUCUGAGCAACAUGAUCCCGCUCCUGAAGAAGAGCGUAUGGAGCAGACAGACGUCUGCAGUAAUUCCAUCACCAUAGUCACGCAGGGAUGGCCCUUGUGUCUCUUCUGUGAUGUUGACACUCCCUUCACCGGAGCAGCUCUGGUGUGCGACACACAGGGAAACGGGAAUCAUUGGGCAGCUCUUUGGAAAGACGCAGCAUCCAUCGCUGGCCGCGUGCGUAUGAACCUAUGCGACAAGGCUGCGGCCAGAUUAGCCGCAAACAUCACACUGAGAUGCUCCAGCCGUCUCCCCCGGCAACCCCGUGCAGAGCCAGAGGUCUGUAAGAUGGGAGGACGGAUGAUUAGCGGCUGAAGCCUGAAGAGGCGACACCUUAACUUGAUCUACUGGACAAUAAAAGGCGGGAAAAGACUCAUCAGAGAGAAGAAAUAAACAUCUUCGGUAAGGAGAAGAUGAUCAUCGUUUGGUGACAUUUACUGUCCCAGCCAAGCUUCUUAGACGUCCAGGCGGCUCCCAGCGUCGGCCUGCAGGAGCAGCAGGUGUGAGGCGCCACAAGCCAAGCGAGGCUCAUCCCUCACGCCGGAAUAAGAAGCAGAGAAUGACCCAGCUAAUGCAGCAAGGCGAAUCAGUAUUCAGUGACGGCUCCGGCAAAUUAUGAAAUCAGUGCAUUUCUGCUACCGUCCUCCUUAAACCGGGAAUAAUUAGCAAUCACUACAAAGCUAGAGGACCGAAAUAUUCUAUUCUUCUGUGCUGUCAACUUUUAUCUUGAUCCAAGCUUAACCGAACGGAGUUCGUUUUUCCGAGGCAAUUGGUUGAAUUGGGCUUAAUGACAACCUGACAUGUUCUCAAUUGCAACACAAAGGGAUACGUCAUUUCAUCAACCCCGCCGACCCUUGCAAUGUCCGGGGACAUAAAUAGCCCCACAGCCGCGGAGCGCCAUCGAGUGGUGUGCCAUUCUCUUCUUUCAUGUAUAGCCUGAUGUCUGAAGGGUUCCUCCCGGGUGGAGGGGAGAGAGAAAAGAUACCUAAUCAGUCAUAAUUCCAUUGGAUAUUUAUAAUCAGACGGAUUCUCCGGGGCCUCCGUGGAUCCAUUACCUGAUUAUGUUCUUGAUGGGUUCGUUAAAACUUUGGACUUCAGUCCUAUUUAUCAGUUUCCCACGUGCUACCAGACGCCGGGGAACCUUGCAUGAAUUGAGCCCAGGGCUGGACCAGCCAUUUGGCAAACUGGGCAUUUUCCUGGUGGGGCGAUGGGGCUGUGGGCCAGCAUUCAUGGUGGAGGACACCCCACCCCGACCCCCCCAAUCAGCAAAUAAUGUAAUUUUGUAAAAGUCAGUGGCCGAUUUCUAAUCCCUGUCCAGCCCUGACUGAGCCCUGCUAAAUAGACAAAGGUCUGGAUUUUUCAACAAAUCAACUUUCCUCUUCAAAAAUUGAAUUCAAAACUACUUUCAAAAUGAAUUUAUAGUUAUUUGAGAUCCAUGAACAACUUGAAUAAAAUGAAAACCAGGGUAACAUUUGUAAUAUAUUUUUAUAUAUAAAUAUAUUUUUUUUUAAUGUAAGGAGGGGUGGACUUUUCACGGUACUUGUGCUAAACCUAGUUAAAGGUGGAACUGAGAUGUAGAUUCUAAAAGCAAUAUAAGAAUCCAGCUGGGGAGGAAGUAAAAUAGAAUA